UGGGUGCGUACCCACGGCGUGCACUUAGCAAAUGUCCUUUUUCCUCCUUCACGUCGCCCUCCGGGCCACGGCCCACGGCCCAAUUUCGGAAGCACCAGGAGUGUCGAAGCGGACCUAUGUCCUUCCGUCUUCGGGAGGAAGAAACGAACUGCCUUCGUGGAGCCCAGGUCAGCUCCUCCGAGGCGAACGCUUAAAAGCGGCUCGCGUUUUCCAACAGUGGCAUCUCUGAGGAAAACUCAAGAAAUCAAACAGAUCUCCUCAAACUCCAGAGGAACCCAAUGAGUCCGUUAAACAGUGACAAGGUACAAAGCCAGACUAACCCGGGUGGAGACUUCCAGAAGAAAGUUUUGGCAAAAAGAGUACAAAACAAAGUCACAAACGGGCCGAGGCCGGCCGAGCGAGCCCCUGCCAUGGGGCCCCGCACAUCUGCUCCACACUGGGAUUUUUUCAGCCUGCCCUCCACCUACUGAGAUGUGGCUCGGGUGGAGGGGCGUUCUGAGGGUACGCGCCCUCAACUCCGGACUUUCGACUCCAAGCAGAAUUUUCAAAGAAUAAAACGUCUAAGUCCAAAGAGCAGGCUCCCCUCGACUUGGUUAGAAGCCUAGCCCCCGGUCGAUGGCUAUGCGCCAAGGAGGGCCUUUUCCCUCCCACCUGUGGGGAGCAGAGUCCCCACUUCCAGGGCUGACACCACACAGGAGUGUUCACCAACCCAGGGUACCACCCGGCAACCCAGAAGCCGGUCGCAGAAGCGGCUUUCUCCAGUGAAAUUCUUCUUUCCCGGGGGUUGAUGACUCCAACUCUAAAGACUCCUGCCUCCCCCUUCCCAGCCCCCCGCCUUGCAUCCCACUCGCAUUUUCCUGAGGCUCACUGACUGUAGGAAAACAAGUAUCGCAUUAUGCUGGACUCCCUGGAAUGAGAUCAGUUCUAGUUUCAAAUUCCUUGCCGAACAAGCCCAAGGCCACAGACCCGGUACAAAUCCCAGCUGCUCGGCGGGGCAGAAGGCCUGAGCGAGCUCAAGAAAGCACGACUGAAGUCGUGACCGGCAAACGCAUCCUAAACCUGGACCGGCUUCCUCCCAGGUCUGGUCCACAGCGCGGGGCACGAACACGUCCGUAAAGGACCCGGUCUCGGCUCCUCCCCCCCGAGGCAGCACGGCCAAGGCGCGGCUGCGGUGCGGCGCUGGGCUGCGAUUUUCUCCAACUGGCACCAUCUGUGCGUGCCCUGCCAGACGUGCUGACAGAGCAGGCUGCGUAGACCAUUACUAAUCUACCGGGGUCGGCGGGGUCAGGCCUGCAACAUGAGGCCUAUGGAUUUCAAAGGCCGGCCUUCCCCCCACGCCAGCUCAUCAAUCUAGGCUGAAAAGCAGCCACAUUUUUAUCCUCCUUUUAAAUUUCAAAGAAAAAAUUCUCAUCUUCGAGUUUAGCGUGGGGGGAUCGCUUGCACGUCAUCGGUGUCCGGAGACCAGCUGAGUGGUACAUCUGCGGGGCUGGAGGCUCAGCCGUUGAUCCUCUGCCAAAAUUGGGUGACCAGGCCGGGGGGAUGACUUUCCUCGCAUACACAAAGCCUUCAGAGCGGCGGCGUAGAGGAAGGCCAACAGGGAGCGAGAUUCAAACUCUACUGCUGCCAGGCACCGCCCCUAAGGGGAGUCUGCAGAAGAACAGUAAAUGCCAAAGACCAUCCUAUCAGGACGGUACCGUGGGAGCCCAGGCAGUACAAUUCGGGCUGGUGAAUGAAAACACAGCCUCACCCCCCAUCCAUCUCAGAAUUCACCCAGGAGGCCCGCAACUGCCAGCAGCUGCCGAUCAAGUGUUUACUGAACGCCUACUGUGCGCCAAGAGCUAUGGAAUAAGCAAGUCUCGUGCUCAGCUCUACACUGGCCAAGGGCCCCGUGGAAACAGGAAGUCAGUCCCACCUUCAAAAGGCCAUUGGGUGGCAACGGCAUGAUUCCAGGUGUACUACGAUCUUCAAGUUAAACGAUGACUCAAUCUGCCAACAGUCCACCAAUCACCACAAAACUAAGACAUCACUGCAAACUCCAAAGAAACCAGAUCUUUAUUUACAAUGAUUAAAGGCUUAAGGAAAUUAAGUUUUUCCGGACUCCGGGCAACUACAAGCGAAGGCUGGCCCAGCUACCAGCACACCCCCCGCCCCCAGGCUGCUCCCCUCACAAGGGUGCCUCAGCAUGACCUAAGAAGCAGUCACCCCAUCCCUUAGCCUUAAUCUGUUCCAGAUCAAGGAAGCACUGCUAUCAUAACAACGGACCCGCACGCAGCCCUUCGACUCCUCUGGAUAUGCUACAACGUGCUAAGCACACGAAACCGAUGGAAGCAUUUCGAAUGAGAGGCUUCACCUCUAUCGUGACUUUACGAACCCAUCCUGGGACGUGCUGGCACUGAAGAUUUCAUUCUCUCUGUAAAAUGAACACCUUCACGUUCCAAGAUGACCUGUUUUGGUCUUUGAGAAACAGUCAGAUUUUACGAGCCCUAACUCAACACUAGGCUUCGGGUGUAAAGCUUUCUGCUGUCUUUCCCCCACCUCUAGAGCCCUAUAUUAUGUUUUAGAGGCUGGGAUUGUUCUAGACACCAGCAGCUCCUUUUUUAAACAAAGGCUGCCAAACAUUUAUCUCCCUCUCUGUCUGCUUCUGCUGGGGCAAAAGAUAAGCAUCUAGACAGAGACUUGCAUCGUGUUUUACCUGUAACUCAUCUAAACCACCAACUGACAAACACAGGUUCUGCCUCUGAGCACCAGGGAAGCUUGGGCAUAGAAAUAGCUGCACGGACCUGUGCCUCCAACAUCACUGCCAGCACAGAGGCGGCGAGUGCAACGAUCAGAAGGCAGGAGGCCUAGAUGGUGGAAUGGGAAACCCUCGACAAGUCUCAAAAUAUCAAGCCAAGCUAGAAGGUGGCAAAGAUAUGGCCACAGAACUCACAGUAAAGACCUAAACGGCCACAUUAUAAGUAGAGAUCGGAACAAAUCCAUGUAUCUCCAGCAGCCCAAGCAUCCCCCAGAAAAACAGCCAGCAUAGAUGUGGUCAGACUCUCUUCCACUGUAAGCAACUUAUGAGCCUAUCAAGGCAUCUACACUCUCUUUUGCCUCUUCGAGUUCUAAAAAUUUAAUCAUACUUCACUAGCCUAUUGCUGAGAGGUAGGAUGUUUGUUUUUUAUCAACUAUUGCUAAGCAUGAAUAUUAACGGGUAAACUUUAACUCUGCAUUGAUAGGAUUAUACUGGCUUGUAAAGGGCAGGAGGACCCUCACUUCUGAAGAAAUAACAGAAGGACAAAAGGAACCAAGUUCAUUUUAUUCUGUCUUCCAUGAUCAAUUAGAUGUUAGGCAGUUUAAGAUUCUAAUGGAAGAUUCUUGCAGGGUCCUCAGAAGCCCUGCCCAACAGGAGACCCCCACCAUAUACCAGGCACUGAGUAGGGACCAGGGGUAUCAAGAUAUGACCUCUGCCCCCCCCCCCCAGCAUCCUAGGACAAAUGGGAAUCAAAUGCUCUUAAGUCCUUAGGGCUACAGUUUUUCUUAAGAGACUUGCUGGCAUGCGAUAUUGACACAACAGCCAGCCUUCUACAGGUUCAGAGAGGGAGGAAAAAAACACAAUAGCCAGGGUUAGAACACGGAGAAAUAUUUUGGUUUCUGAUAAAAUGCUGGCAUAAUAUUAAAACCAGUUACGAGUGAUCAAAGGAACCUACACUAAACACUGUGGUCACUCUGCCUUCAUGUGCCAUUAGCAUUUGCCCAAGAGCCACCUCUGUGACAAAUCAAAAUGGCUUGCCCCAGGCUCUGCUUACAGGAGCCACUGUCUGAUUUUGCGAACAGGUUACAUUAUGGGGUCUUUUUUUUUUUUUUUUAAACAUUUAAUGUACCUCAUACAACACCUUCUCUACAAUGGUUUUGGGAGAUCACUCCCUAAUCCCCAAUUCUUCCUCAAGGAAACCAGUUAAGAAUCCUUAAGAGAAUUAACUUAGACAACUAAUUACCGCCCCCCCAACCCACACACAAAAAAAACCCCUCCUACUGCAAGGUGGGGAAAUGGAUCACCAGAAGGCAACAACAAUGAUCACCAGGAGGUGUGGAAGACAAACAGAAACAAAAAGGAGGACUCCUUUCUGUUCUGGGGAGUUGCAAGCAAAAUGCCCACCUGUAGGAGUAAAAGCUUUCCUCUCCAAGCUCCAAGUUUUAACACACAAUCCAGAAACCAACAGAACACCACUGGCCCAAAUCCAAAGUUAUUCUAAUGGGGCUGAUUCACAUAGUUGACCUUGCAUUUGAUGGCAGUAUCACCACACGUAGAAAGAAAUACAAGUUAUUUAAGGUGUCGAGGUAUAGUCUCUACCCAUAAAUAUUUUAGUAUUUUUUCCAGAUGCCCCAUCUAUUUUCCCAACAGUGUGCACAGUUCACUAAACAAGGCCAUAAAUAAAGACUGACUUUUUAAAGAAGGCUUAGUAUUAUAGGCUAUUUUUAGACCUUUAUUGAUCAUUCCAGAACGUGCCAUCUCUCCAUGUAUAUUGUGGAGUAAACACUGUAUUUUCUGCUUCAUAGGAUUCUUUUAAAUAUCAACUUUUAAAGUCACAGAAUUGCAGCAUCCUAGAGUUUCAGAAAAGCUUAAGGGCCAACUAGUUUAUCUCGCCUGUCAUUAAUGAAACGAGAACUUAGGAAGUCAUGUGACGUGCCCAAUGGCGUGCCUUUGGAAACCCAUCAGGUUAUACCAGCCAAGCUGAAAUACAGUGACUAACCCCUUAUGUGGGCAAAAAUUUACCUUUUUUUAGCUACUCUGUACAGAAGUUAUAAAUAACCAAAGAUUUCUUUUUAAAUAUAUCUGUAUUAAUACAUUUCAAAAUAAAUCUAUUGCAAUCAUUUAAUGGGUUGCUUAAAUAUAAUGUUUUCAUAACCACCUUUCAAAGCAUAAGCACAUGUUGAAACUCACUGGACCACCCAAGUCAAAAAUCUACUUAUGCUAUUUAAUGUUUAUUUGGUUUGUUUCUAAAUGUGUAUUUAAGUGGCAAAGUCAUAAAAGGAAGAAUUAAUGAUAAUCGAUACCAGACCUGCACCCAUGGAGUGCUUCUUGAGUUUACGGUAUUUAGUCAAGUCAGCCAAGGGGGAACAAAAAACUAUUCUAAAGUGAGAAAACUCUGUAUAAUACUUUAAAAGCAAGUCCCCAACCAUAUGCUGUAUUCUUAAAGCACAAUUAUCCCGAGACCAAAACACAAUCCUCUGAAAGACACUGACGGAAAGGAAAAUGUAGACCUCUCAGAAGUGUGUGGAGGUAACAAACGAGAUUUAAUGCCAAAAAAGAGUAGGCUUUUUGCCCAUUCAGAUACCUUCAAAACUGUCAUUAUAACUUUAGAUUCUAAAAUGAACUACCAGCUUUAAAAAGACCGAGCAACAAAGGAUCCAUCUACUUACCUAAAUAUGCAGAUGGCUCAUACGCCUAAGGAAUGCUCGAAAUUUACCCAAAACUCACAACACGGCUUCUCAUAGUAACAGUCAUCAAAGCGAUUAGGUUUCCAGACCAGCCUACAGAGGCAUUUCUAAUUCCGUCUGUACCUGAGGUAAUAAAUGCUAGUCAUUUGUAGAACCCAGAAAGCAAAGAGUAGCUAAGGGGUCAAGGCAAGUGACAAAGAGAAGGGCUUUGUAGGGACCGAGAGAAAAGCCUGCUUUCAUUUACUCUUCUCCUAGUACUUAACAUCUGGCUACAUUAAGGAGCAAUCAGCAGGCUGACUUGGGCUCCUCUCCCUCCUGUUCCCAGCUCUCUGCCUUCCUGGCCUCUUUAACACCAGCCCUCCAGGGGAAGAAGAACCAGAGGUCAAAGUGUAGCAAUUGCCGCCUGCCCAUACUUCUAAUAGGCAAUAAAGCCAAAAGAGCAACCAGUACCUGAGACCAAGGGAGCAGAGAAGAAAAUGAGGAACCCCAGAGGCAGCAGGAGAAAAGCCAAUACCGGAAAAUCAACAAGACCAACAGUUAAGCUAAAAGGCCUGUGGCAGCCCAAACAGAGUAGGGUAUUCCUGGGAAAAGGGCUUUGAGAAAUUUGGCACACGGCGGGGGGGGGGGGAAGCAACUAAAGCAAACUCUGGUUGGCCCCUUGAGAAGUUAGGAAAUGGAGUAGUUCUUCUCUAAGAAGGGGCCAGGGCACAAAAUCAGGAGGAGAUGUGAAUGAGGCUAGCUGAACUCCAGCACACGUCCCGUGACGGGUGAUCGUUUAACUAUUCGGAUCCCUAAAUCCAGUGAAUUAUCCUGAUCCGUUCUGUACUGUGUACCGAAAUAAGAGGGUGAGCCAUCACCACGACUGGAAAAACUCCAAAUCCUGACAGCCUAGGGCUUGAUUGCAGUCCUGGCCUAAAAUCGAGGAAGUUCCCUGAAGUAAUUCACACCGUGUAAUUGCCAGAUUUAAAUUUAGUAGCUUAUCAGUAAAAUCCAUUGCACAAAAGCUGCCAGCCAAUAAGGGAAGAGAUGUUAGAAGCUUGCAGGGCAAAGCCAUUUCUUGAGACAAGUUCUAACCCAGAGAAAGCACCAAGGGAAUCCUCUGGAGACACGGGCAGUGCCCCUUCUUGAUCUCAGAGCAUGUCAAAGCAAGUGUUCUUAAAACGGAAGUAUACCCACCUGAAAACUACAUCCUGGCUCUUCAAGAAUGUAUGGUGUCUAUGCUAAUGCCCUUCACGGGGCUGAAAUUCGGCUCCGCAUGGGGCUGCCUGCCUCCACACGGGGACCACAGGGCCCCAAGAGGAAAAGACAAGUAGAGGAGAAGGGCACACAGGGUGCAGCAGAAGGCACUAUCCCAGGGGAUCGGGACAUCCUCAGGCACCCAGUUCUGAGACCACACGAGUGGCCAUUCGCCACAUGUCGUGGAACCGGGCUCGGGCCGUAGACUGACAAGAGGGGUCCAUGCCACUGGGGCACUGAAAUCCACAUAUGUACAACCAUCACGCGGUCCUGUGGCUUCAACAAAUCUCAAGAUCAUGACAGGAGCCGUGUGACGUUCAGGGAAGGGCGCUGGGCUGAAUCUGCAGACCUAGAUUUCGGGAGCGACCUUGCUGGCUUAGCUCAGGGAAAGGGACAAAUCGUUUCCUCUCUGGGACUCAAUGUCCUCAUCUGUAAAAUACAGAGCAGAUGCGCUCUGUUAGCACAGAAUUCCGACUGACAUGGGAACUGACACUCAAAGCCAUUUGGAUGCCCCCACCCCACACACACACAUGUGGCACAGGGAGCCUCCACGACUGCCCAGCGAGCACAUUCACAAGGUUCUAGCAAGAUUCAGUACAGUGCAAUCAGCAACGAGCCUACUUAGGCACUCUGAGGGUACCAGCAAGAUCUCACCAGAACAAACAGACGGCACACGAAAGCACAUGGAGGGAAGAGCCACUGGCUGGUGUUCCUCGAGGUCAAGAACCGGGUCUCCCUCCAAGGGCACUACUAAGUAUCCCCAUAGCAUCGCCGCUGUGCAUGGCAAUCACCGGGCAGUUCAGAUUUCUCCCUCCUCUAAACUCAGUCCUCAGGCAGAGGACUCCCAGCAAGGUGACUUCCUCCCCCCUGGCAAGUUGCUUAACAGAGUGACAGCAACGCUGUUCAUCAGCGGUGGAGGGGUGUGUGUGAGAAGAGCAUCUUCCUAAACAGGCUCCCAGUAGCUUUGGGGCAGGAAUAAGUCCACCUCCCUAUUAGGAAGGACGUUUCACAAGGUGACUCAAUGCCCAUUACGCAAAAGAAACAUCAGUCCGCACAGAGCCGGAGGUGCGGCCCGCUCUGGUGUUCCAGGGCCACCACCUCCCGAGUGGGUGACCCCGUCCCGGAACGCCCUCCCCAAAGGAGCUCCUAGCGCUGCCGCCCCUCCUCCUCGCCUGUGUCCUACUCUGCCAAAGCCCAGAUUUGAACUUCCCACUCAGGAAGGCACAGAUGUGACAGCUCUUCCUCCCCUUUCCACCCUGCUGAGGUUUGCUUCCACGUGUAACUCGUGUUAGGAUUCAUUCCCUGGAUACGGGACCUCCAACAGUGUGAGGUGGAGACAGAAGAGCCAGUGCAGGUUGUUUUUUGUUUUUGUGUUUUUGUUUUGCCAAGCCCUAAACCUAUACAAUCUGAUGCAAAUUAAACUAGUCCUUUCGGGUCCAAAGGGGCCGUUGGCCAAGUUAACGGCACAGCCCCCCGCAAUCAGGGCACAGAGAGACGCACGCUCCGGGAGAGGGUGCCCAGGCUUUGUCAAAACAGAAAACGCACUCAGUGGAAAAUUGAACUCGAUCUGGAGAACCACUCGGUCCUGCUAAAGAACUAUUACGGUAAGACCCGCACACCACCGCCACCCUCCUCACGCCCUUUAUUUUCUAAACCCGCAGACACUUCCCCACUCACGUCCGCCAACCUAUUAUCCUCUCCCAGCUUCAAAAGCUAACUGCCCCAAAGCUACAUUUUCUCCAUGAAGCCAGUUCCUAAUAGCAUUCCCUAGGAGUGCACGGCUUCCAAAACUUGAAAGGAGCCAAGAAAUCUCAGGCCUCUGAGAUUUAACAACUUUGUGUGGUAGGCUUGCAUCGCCUGCUCUCUUUAACUCAAACCGUAAUCCCCCUUUAAAAUCUGGACAGCAACAGGGAAAGAAAAAAGGAUUAUAGAAAUGAUAAAACCUAGGGUGCUGAUACGUGAAAUCCUGGAUCCACUUCUCGAUUCAUUCACAGACUCUCUGGAAAACAUUAGGAGAGGCAUGUUGUAUCUGUUUCUCCCUUUAUGAGGUAGCUUUUUAUUAAGCCGUGUUGACAUGGUAUCAUAGAAUACUCACAAGUCUUUCUAAGCAAAUUAGGAGCACGGAGGCUCCCUCAAACUGAAUCAUGAUGUACAUCUGCCUUUAUUGUCUAGUAUCUUUUAUAGGUCUCAGGGAUCUGCCCAAUACCCUACUGACAACAGAAAUCCAAUUCUUAAAAAGACAUUUUCAUGUACAAAGAGGCCAUCAAAUUAUCACCCGUAAUUCACUUAAGUCAACAUCUGGCGCCAUGACUGUGACUCUUUCUUUAUCCUCAGAUACAAUGCACACCAUAGACCGCAAGAGGAAGGACCACAAGCCUGGCAACAGGAAAAUUCCUGGAGGCUCGUGACAAACACCAAUGGCCCUGGGGUGGAUUUAGACGUGGAAUGGAUACUUGGAAUCCUAGAAACAAAGAGGGAGAAUCUGGGAAAUUCGGUUUCCUGAGUGUUAGCAUCUCACAGGCCAUUAAUGGGAAAUGGCUUCACUUCACUCACAUCAGAGCCACGGAUUUUUGGUUUUUGGGUUUUUGUUUUUUUUUUUUUUUGUAACCCUUUUCCCAUCUCUAAUGUAGGAUCUAGUGCAGAUGCUACAAUUUGGGGCCAACUUUUGGUUAGUAAAGCUGUAGGCCAAGUUAUUUUCUUCGUUCUCCAGUUCAACUAUGGUUUAGGCAAGCCCCACCCUGACACCCUGCAAACCUGUGACCCCAACUAUAAACAGGGAGGGCUAAGAUCUACUCUUUUACUCACUGACCUCUCCUCCUCCCUGCUCUGGGCUGUCCAUACUCUUCCUGCAAACAACCGGUAGACAGUCCCCCCACCCACCCACCCCCCGCCAUGACUGGCCAUGACUCCUCCUCUAAUUCUGGCUCCUGUGUGAUUUUUCCCAAGGGACCUCCUCACGGCACAGCUUCUCUGAUGUAGAUCUGACCCCAGCUCUGGCCCAGCCUCUUCCACCCACUGCUGGACUCCCAUUACCAGACGACAGCCUUGUAGGGAUCCUCUAACAAGAUGGAUCAAGACCAUCUGCCAUUUGCAGUGUUCCCUUCACUCUUAGAGAACUCCCAUGCUCCUGCCAAACUAAACAGAGAAUAUGUGAGCUGCCCGGCUGGGAGCCCCUUCUCCUGUUGUGCCUCACAGUUCCUUCCGCCCCAGCCCAGACAAGCACAGGGGUAGUUAGGCACGUCAGCCUGAGCAGACAUUCCACCAGGAAAUCCAACACCAGCUUUUGCAUUCUUGCAGGCACCCCCCAUCUCUAUGGGUGAGUCUUUCAGAAUUUUCCCCGUCACCUCUGAUAUAAAGCUGAUGAGCCUUUCUCCUCACUUCCCCAGUGUUCUGCGCAGGCUAGAAAAGAAAGGGGGUGAUAACUGCUGGCAAGAGGGAAAUUUUGUUUUCUCUUAGUAAGCUCUUUGGGGAGCUGUCUGGCCUCAGAUAGACAUGGCUCUCAUCAGAUCACACGGUCUUCAGGUAUUUUAGCUCAACGUGAGCCAGAAGCACCUAUUAUAAGACAGCAGAGAAGUCUGACAAUAAUUACCAACAAGUUAAUAGUACAGAAUCACCCAACUACCCACCGACUUUUUAAUUUUGUAAUAUUUACUUACUUUGAGAGAGACACAAAAAGCAUGAGCAGGGGAGAGAGUGAGAGCAGAAUCUGAAGCAGGCUCCAGACUGAGCUGUGAGCAUAGAGCCAGAUACAG